rnacentral:rRNA from 1 species
UGACCUCAAAUCAGGUAGGACUACCCGCUGAACUUAAGCAUAUCAAUAAGCGGAGGAAAAGAAACUAACAAGGAUUCCCCUAGUAACUGCGAGUGAAGCGGGAAAAGCUCAAAUUUAAAAUCUGGCGGUUCUUGURGCCGUCCGAGUUGUAAUUUAGAGAAGUGUUAUCCGCGCUGGACCGUGUACAAGUCUCCUGGAAUGGAGCGUCAUAGAGGGUGAGAAUCCCGUCUUUGACACGGACUGCCAGGGCAUUGUGAUGCGCUCUCGAAGAGUCGAGUUGUUUGGGAAUGCAGCUCAAAAUGGGUGGUAAAUUCCAUCUAAAGCUAAAUAUUGGGGAGAGACCGAUAGCGAACAAGUACCGUGAGGGAAAGAUGAAAAGAACUUUGGAAAGAGAGUUAAACAGUACGUGAAAUUGCUGAAAGGGAAACGCUUGAAGUCAGUCGCGUCGUUCAGGACUCAGCCUUGCUUUUGCUUGGUGUACUUCUUGUUCGACGGGUCAGCAUCAAUUUUGGUCGGUGGAUAAAGGCUUAGAGAAUGUGGCAUCUUCGGGUGUGUUAUAGCUCUGGGUCGCAUACAUCGGCUGGGAUUGAGGAACUCAGCACGCCGCAAGGCCGGGUACUUGUACCACGUACGUGCUUAGG